rnacentral:lncRNA from 1 species
AUGUACUGCAAUGGUGUUAUUUAUUAAAUAAUAUAUAAACUAUACAUAAAUAUUAACACUAGUGUAUAAACAAUAUAGAGCGACUGCUCCAGCGGUAACUUGAUGCGCGCGUUGUAGAAUAAGUCAGUAUAGUGGAUAAGAUGAAACGGAAAAAUAAAAAAGAAAUUUUAAUUACAGUUGAAAUAAUAUUUAUUAAUAUGUAAUACACAAUUGUUAUAACUCCGCAAAGACCUGAAUCACCAGUUCACAAUCAAUUAUAUUAUUCUUAUCGAAUAAAUCGCUUUUGCGAAUUGCCACGUGAUCGGGGUCCUUCGCAUUCCUCGCGAUUUCUGAAAAGUGUGCGAACUUGACAUCAACCAUACCGGUGACGUUGUUCAACGAAUGAUUGAUGCAGUCUACACAAUAUUCAAGUGCAAACAUGUUACACGCGGUUCGGCUUGACAUGAUUAAACAUAAUGCUGAUGUUGCCAGGCGCAUUACUUUUAGGUUCUUAAUUUUUCCAAAACUUAACGUGCAGUGUCCAACGGUCUGAGACGUUCGUCGCUGUUAAGAUAAGAUAUUCAAAAAUAAUUAGUCCAGGAGAUAUUUCGAUUUUUCGUAGCAUAUCUUUUAUUUAGCGUUUGUUAUGAAAUUCAAUUAACUAAAAUCUAAUAUGAAUACUACUUGAGAGAUUAUCGUAGACAUAACAUAAAGUAAUUGAAUAUAUUUAUUUUAUGAUAAAUGUUCAAAUACACUUCAUUUGUAUUUGUGUUUGCCUCGGACAUCAAUACAUUUUUAAACACAAAUCUUAUUUUGAACGGCUAUUAGCAUUUCUGAGGUGAUACGUUAAAAUACAUUUAUAACUUUGUUUUUCAUGUCUUCGGGACUUGUUGGUUUAAUAAAAAUAAUCAAUAUUUCUUUUAUCCGUGGAUUAUUGUUGAAGAAAUGUUCUUUAGACAUAACAUUGCUUAUAGUGUGAUUAUAGGGUAGGUCAUGAUACUUCUGCGGUAGCCAUAUCUUUUACGUUAUUAUUAUUAACUGAGCACAAAGAUGUUCAAGUUCUUUUUGACGCUUCAAUCUUAACGCUUUGUCCACAUCAUUCUUAAAAAAGCUGGCGAUGAUGCCCCGUUGAUUCAUGAGUUCUUUCCAUACGCCGUAUGAUAGACGUAGCUCCUUGCCAUGAUUGUCACCGAGAGCGAUUUCCACACGGCUCGGCGUUGAGACGUUGUCAUUCCGUUGACAUUCCGAUGUCGAGAUACUUGUACCCAGUCUUCGUCAAAUAGUAUCUUCUAGCCAAGAUCCUAGAUGAUUCUUUUUCCAUCUUUGGUGAAUUACUUUUUUGUUUUCCGUGAAAAAAGAAAUUGUGAGUUUAAAAGUAUAACAAUUAUAAUAAAUAAGCUUAAAGAUGUAGCUAAAGAAACAAGUCGACUUACUCGUUGGGUAAUUGCAGCUUCUUCGCACUCUGCUGUUCGUUGAUCUGAUUAUUCACGGUUGACAUGGUGUAAAACAUCGUUGCUAGUAAACGUGACAGCGAACUAGUGAUUAUCUCAAUGAUUUCGAACGACUGAUGGUUCCUAUUCUAUUUCACUUGCUUUAUAUACCCGCACACGGCACUGAAAAUAGCGCUGCCUAAGGAUCUUUGUUCUAAAAAUAGCGAUGAUGCUUUCUGAUACCAAUUUUAUUACCCCCUCCAAUUCUAAGAAAAAUAAUUAUCGCCUUUGUGUAACCCCUGUAAUCUGAUACCAAACAUUACCCUCUCCAAUUCUAAGAAACGGCGCCCAAAUGCUGCCCAAGAGCCUUUGUUCUAAAAAUAGCGAACCAGUCUGUCAGAGUACUAAGAUUUUCCUCUCGUAAGGUGAGACUGUCUUCCAUCUCUGUAACAAAUAAAAAUUAUUAAAAUAAAAAAUUAUUAAAAA